rnacentral:sRNA from 1 species
AAAAUUUGUGGGGUAGGGUGUUGAAUUUUAUUAAACAAACCAUUGUAGAGUAUAAAAUUUGAGUGGGUAUUGAAUUAUUAUGUGGAAGAGAGAGGAAAUGAUGUGGAAGAAAGAGAAGAUGAUGUGGAGGAUGUUGAAUCGAAAAACCAUUGUUGAUAGAUUAUGCGAAUAUGCAAAAGUUUUACCAAUUAAGAAAAUAUGCAUAAUGUUUACCGAAAC